UUCNUCGUCAUUUAGAGGAAGUAAAAGUCGUACAAGGUUUCCGUAGGUGAACCUGCGGAAGGAUCAUUAACGAGUUCAGAAAAGGGUUGUAGCUGGCCUCAAAUCCGGGGCAUGUGCACACCCUGCUCAUCCACUCUCACACCUGUGCACUUUCUGUAGGUCGGUUCGGGAUCUGGUCCCUCGCGGGGUCGGGUUCUGUGCCUUCCUAUGUACAAUCACAAACGCUUCAGUAUUCAGAAUGUCAUUGCGAUAAUUAAAACGCAUCUUAUACAACUUUCAGCAACGGAUCUCUUGGCUCUCGCAUCGAUGAAGAACGCAGCGAAAUGCGAUAAGUAAUGUGAAUUGCAGAAUUCAGUGAAUCAUCGAAUCUUUGAACGCACCUUGCGCUCCUUGGUAUUCCGAGGAGCAUGCCUGUUUGAGUGUYAUGGAAUUCUCAACCCACACAUCCUUGUGAUGUGGACGGGCUUGGACUUUGGAGGCUCAUGCCGGUCCCCAUUCGGGUCGGCUCCUCUGGAAUGCAUUAGCUCCAUCCCUUGCGGAUCGGCUCUCGGUGUGAUAAUUGUCUACGCCGUGGUCGUUGAAGCCUCAGUCGGGCGAGCUUAUAAUCGUCCCCUCCGGGACAAUCGAAUAUGACAUCUGACCUCWMAUCAGGUAGGACUACCCGCUGAACUUAAGCAUAUCAAUAAGCGGAGGAAAAGAAACUAACCAGGAUUCCCCUAGUAACGGCGAGUGAAGYGGGAAAAGCUCAAAUUURAAAUCUGGCWGGYCYYMGGCCGYCCGAGUUGUAGUCUGGAGAAGCGUUUUCUGCGCCACACUGUGUACAAGUCUCUUGGAAUGGAGCCUCAGAGAGGGUGACAAGCCCGUCUACGACACAGAAUUUGGUGUGCGCUCUGUGAUGCGCUCUCAAAGAGUCGAGUUGUUUGGGAAUGCAGCUCAAAAUGGGUGGUAAAUUCCAUCUAAAGCUAAAUACAGGCGAGAGACCGAUAGCGAACAAGUACCGUGAGGGAAAGAUGAAAAGCACUUUGGAAAGAGAGUCAAACAGUACGUGAAAUUGUUGAAAGGGAAACACUUGAAGUCAGUCUCCGUGACUUGAGAUUCAGCUCCUCUGGAGUGUAUUUCUCUUGUUCCAACGGGCCAGCAUCAAUUUCGACCGACGGACAAGGUAGUUGAGGAAGGUGGCACUCCAUUGGAGUGUGUUAUAGCCUUGACGUCGCCUGCGUUGGUUGAGAUUGAGGACAGCAGCACUCCCUUUACUGGGAACGGGGUUCGCCCACGUAUGGUGCUUGGGAUGCUGGCGUAAUGGCUUUAAGUGACCCGUCUUGAAACACGGACCAAGGAGUCUAACAUGCCCGCGAGUAUUUGAGUCUUUGAAACUCAUGUGCGCAAUGAAAGUGAAAUAGUUGGCACCUCUGUCGUGGAGGGCACCGACGCCCAGACCAGACCCAUUGGUGACGGUUCUGAGGUGGAGCGUGCAUGUUGGGACCCGAAAGAUGGUGAACUAUGCCUGAAUAGGGUGAAGCCAGAGGAAACUCUGGUGGAAGCUCGUAGCGAUUCUGACGUGCAAAUCGAUCGUCAAAUUUGGGUAUAGGGGCGAAAGACUAAUCGAACCAUCUAGUAGCUGGUUCCUGCCGAAGUUUCCCUCAGGAUAGCAGAAGCUCACUCUCAGAUUUAUGUGGUAAAGCGAAUGAUUAGAGGCCUUGGGGUCGAAACGACCUUAACCUAUUCUCAAACUUUAAAUAUGUAAGANCAAGUCGUCACUUGAUUGGACCGCUUGGUGAAUGAGAGCUUCUAGUGGGCCAUUUUUGGUAAGCAGAACUGGCGAUGCGGGAUGAACCGAUCGCGAGGUUAAGGUGCCGGAAUGCACGCUCAUCAGACACCACAAAAGGUGUUAGUUCAUCUAGACAGCANGACNGUGGCCAUGGAAGUCGGAAUUCGCUACGGAGUGUGUAACANCUCACCUGCCGAAUGANCUAGCCCUGGAAAANUNGACUG
rnacentral:rRNA from 1 species